GGUUAAGCGACUAAGCGUACACGGUGGAUGCCCUGGCAGUCAGAGGCGAUGAAGGACGUGCUAAUCUGCGAUAAGCGUCGGUAAGGUGAUAUGAACCGUUAUAACCGGCGAUUUCCGAAUGGGGAAACCCAGUGUGAUUCGUCACACUAUCAUUAACUGAAUCCAUAGGUUAAUGAGGCGAACCGGGGGAACUGAAACAUCUAAGUACCCCGAGGAAAAGAAAUCAACCGAGAUUCCCCCAGUAGCGGCGAGCGAACGGGGAGCAGCCCAGAGCCUGAAUCAGUGUGUGUGUUAGUGGAAGCGUCUGGAAAGGCGUGCGAUACAGGGUGACAGCCCCGUACACAAAAAUGCACAUACUGUGAGCUCGAUGAGUAGGGCGGGACACGUGGUAUCCUGUCUGAAUAUGGGGGGACCAUCCUCCAAGGCUAAAUACUCCUGACUGACCGAUAGUGAACCAGUACCGUGAGGGAAAGGCGAAAAGAAC
rnacentral:rRNA from 1 species